rnacentral:rRNA from 1 species
CGGACGGGUGAGUAACGCGUGGAAAACCUGCCGUAUACUGGGGGAUAACACUUAGAAAUAGGUGCUAAUACCGCAUAAGCGCACAGCUUCGCGUGAAGCGGUGUGAAAAACUCUGGUGGUAUACGAUGGUUCCGCGUCUGAUUAGCUAGUUGGUGGGGUAAUGGCCUACCAAGGCAACGAUCAGUAGCCGGCCUGAGAGGGUGAACGGCCACAUUGGGACUGAGACACGGCCCAAACUCCUACGGAAGGCAGCAG